AUUGAACGCUGGCGGCAGGCCUAACACAUGCAAGUCGAGCGAGUGGCGGACGGGUGAGUAAUGUCUGGGAAACUGCCCGAUGGAGGGGGAUAACUACUGGAAACGGUAGCUAAUACCGCAUACCAUCGGAUGUGCCAAGAUGGGAUUAGCUUGUCGUUGAGGUAACGGCUCACCUAGGCGACGAUCCCUAGCUGGUCUGAGAGGAUGACCAGCCACAAUGGCACGAAGACCCGGUCACGACUCCUACGGGAGGCAGCAGUGGGGAAUAUUGCACAAUGGGCGCAAGCCUGAUGCAGCCAUGCCGCGUGUAUGAAGAAGGCCUUCCGGUUGUAAAGUACUUUCAGCGGGGAGGCGUUACCCGCAGAAGAAGCACCGGCUAACUCCGUGCCAGCAGCCGCGGUAAUAC
rnacentral:rRNA from 1 species